GAGGAGGAAGAUAAAGAAGAAGAUGAUGAUAAAUAAGAGGAAUAUUGAACAUCUGAGUCCUGGAUGAUACUAAUAAACUAAUAAUUGCAGAGGUUU